rnacentral:rRNA from 1 species
UUGGACCUGAUAUCAGACUUAAGUUAAAGUC